rnacentral:rRNA from 1 species
AUUGAACGCUGGCGGCAGGCCUAACACAUGCAAGUCGAACGGGAACAGGAAACAGCUUGCUGUUUCGCUGACGAGAGGCGGAAGGAUGUGCAAUGUCUGGGAAACUGACUGCUGGAGGGGGCUAACUACAGGACACGGUAGCUAAUACAGCAUAACGACGCAAGACCAAAGAGGGGGAGCCUCGGGCCUCUUAGCAUCGGAUGUACCCAGUUACGAUGAGCUUGAUGGUUGGGUAACGGCUCACCAAGGCGACGCACACUAGCUGGUCUGCGAGGUGGACCAGCCACAGUGCGACUGAGAGACGGGCCAGACUGCGACGGGAGGCAGCAGUGGGCAACAUCGCACAGUGGGCGCAAGCAUGAUGCAGCCAUGCCGGGUGUAUGAAGAAGGCCUUCGGGUUGUAAAGUACUUGCCGCGGGGAUGAAGGGAUUAAAGUUAAGAACUAGACUCAUUGACGUUACCCGCAGAAGAAGCACCGGCUAACUCCGUG